AUUGAACGCUGGCGGCAGGCCUAACACAUGCAAGUCGAGCGAGCGGCGGACGGGGGAGUAAUGUAUGGGGACUGCCCGAUCGAGGGGGAUAACAACUCGAAACGGUAGCUAAUACCGCACACUUCCGGAUAACACAUAUGGGAUUAGCUAGGAGGUGGGGUAAUGGCUCACCUAGGCGACGAUCCCUAGCUGGUCUGAGAGGAUGAUCAGCCACACUGGGACUGAGACACGGCCCAGACUCCUACGGAGGCAGCGGUGGGGAAUAUUGCACAAUGGGCGCAAGCCUGAUGCAGCCAUGCCGCGUGUAUGAAGAAGGCCCUAGUGUUGUAAAGUACUUUCAGUCGGGAGGCGUUACCGACAGAAGAAGCACCGGCUAACUCCGUGCCAGCAGCCGCGGUAAUAC
rnacentral:rRNA from 1 species